GCUGUGGCUCAGUGGUAGAACUUCUGCUUGGCGCACAGAACACCCCGGGUUCAAUCCCUGUUGAAAGGAAGAGGCA
rnacentral:tRNA from 1 species